rnacentral:rRNA from 1 species
UAUGGCGACCGGCGCACGGGUGAGUAACACGUAUCCAACCUGCCGAUGACUCGAGGAUAGCCUUUCGAAAGAAAGAUUAAUACCCGAUGGCAUAGUUCUUCCGCAUGGUAGAACUAUUAAAGAAUUUCGGUCAUCGAUGGGGAUGCGUUCCAUUAGGUUGUUGGCGGGGUAACGGCCCACCAAGCCUUCGAUGGAUAGGGGUUCUGAGAGGAAGGUCCCCCACAUUGGAACUGAGACACGGUCCAAACUCCUACGGGAGGCAGCAUG